rnacentral:ncRNA from 1 species
UGUAAGCAAUCUUUAAAUAGCCAGUAUGUGGAAAUGAACUUUCUGCAAUAAACCAUCAAAUUGACGGGAAAACCCUAAAGCAAUCUAGACCAAGCAAAUGUGGUAACAUAUUUGUGGCACAGGUAAUAACUCGUGGUAUGGUAAAACAUAGAUUGAUAUACGUAAGUAUAAUGGGUGAUCCGCAGCCAACCACCUCUAAUAAGGUGUACAGUUCAUCGACUAAAUGUUGGUUGGCUUAUAAUUAUAGUGGCUUAUUUUGCUAAAUUAGCAAGCUAAAGCUCAUAAUUAUUGGCUUAAGAUAUAGUCAAACCUUAUCCGAAAGGAUACA